UUUUUGCAUUAAUUUGCCCCACAUUGUGUUUUUUAUUGAACAAAAUUUCUUUGGUGGCGGGAGCAAUCCUACCGCCAGAGGUUAUAACUAAACCAAACUUUUUAUUUACAGUCAAACUUGAUUUAUUAUUACAAUAGUCAAAACUUUCAACAACGGAUCUCUUGGUUCUCGCAUCGAUGAAGAACGCAGCGAAAUGCGAUACGUAAUAUGAAUUGCAGAUAUUCGUGAAUCAUCGAAUCUUUGAACGCACAUUGCGCCCUUUGGUAUUCCAAAGGGCAUGCCUGUUUGAGCGUCAUUUCUCCCUCAAACCCCCGGGUUUGGUGUUGAGCAAUACGCUAGGUUUGUUUGAAAGAAUUUAACGUGGAAACUUAUUUUAAGCGACUUAGGUUUAUCCAAAAACGCUUAUUUUGCUAGUGCCCACCACAAUUUAUUUCAUAACUUUGACCUCAAAUCAGGUAGGACUACCCGCUGAACUUAAGCAUAUCAAUAAGCGGAGAAAAA
rnacentral:rRNA from 1 species